rnacentral:rRNA from 1 species
AACGCGAAGAACCUUACCUACCCUUGACAUGUCUGGAAUCCUGAAGAGAUUUGGGAGUGCUCGAAAGAGAACCAGAACACAGGUGCUGCAUGGCCGUCGUCAGCUCGUGUCGUGAGAUGUUGGGUUAAGUCUCGCAACGAGCGCAACCCUUGUCAUUAGUUGCUACGAAAGGGCACUCUAAUGAGACUGCCGGUGACAAACCGGAGGAAGGUGGGGAUGACGUCAGGUCCUCAUGGCCCUUAUGGGUAGGGCUACACACGUCAUACAAUGGUGCAUACAGAGGGUUGCCAACCCGCGAGGGGGAGCUAAUCUCAGAAAAUGCAUCGUAGUCCGGAUCGUAGUCUGCAACUCGACUACGUGAAGCUGGAAUCGCUAGUAAUCGCGGAUCAGAAUGUCGCGGUGAAUACGUUCCCGGGUC